rnacentral:rRNA from 1 species
GAGUUUGAUCCUGGCUCAGAGCGAACGCUGGCGGCAGGCCUAACACAUGCAAGUCGAGCGGCCGUAGCAAUACGGCAGCGGCAGACGGGAGAGUAACACGUGGGAACGUGCCCUUCAGUUCGGAACAACCAAGGGAAACUUUGGCUAAUACCGGAUACGCCCUUACGGGGAAAGAUUUAUCGCUGAAGGAUCGGCCCGCGUCUGAUUAGCUAGUUGGUGGGGUAAUGGCCCACCAAGGCGACGAUCAGUAGCUGGUCUGAGAGGAUGAUCAGCCUCACUGGGACUGAGACACGGCCCAGACUCCUACGGGAGGCAGCAGUGGGGAAUAUUGGACAAUGGGCGCAAGCCUGAUCCAGCCAUGCCGCGUGGGUGAUGAAGGCCCUAGGGUUGUAAAGCCCUUUCGGCGGGGAAGAUAAUGACGGUACCGCAGAAGAAGCCCCGGCUAACUUCGUGCCAGCAGCCGCGGUAAC